rnacentral:rRNA from 1 species
GACAGCAAUAUGAAGGGCCAGGCUGAAGACUUUGCCGGAUUAGCUGAGAGGUGGUGCAUGGCCGUCGUCAGUUCGUACUGUGAAGCAUCCUGUUAAGUCAGGCAACGAGCGAGACCCACGCCAACAGUUGCCAGCAUGUCCUCCGGGAUGAUGGGGACACUGUUGGGACCGCCUCUGCUAAAGAGGAGGAAGGAAUGGGGCAACGGUAGGUCAGCAUGCCCCGAAUUAUCCGGGCUACACGCGGGCUACAAUGGUCAGGACAAUGGGUAUCAACACCGAAAGGUGAAGGCAAUCUCCUAAACCUGUCCUUAGUUCGGAUUGUGGGCUGCAACUCGCCCACAUGAAGCUGGAAUCUGUAGUAAUCGCGUCUCAACAUGGCGCGGUGAGUAUGUCCCUGCUCCUU